rnacentral:rRNA from 1 species
GCAAGUCGAACGAGGUAGCAAUACCUAGUGGCGCACGGGUGAGUAACGCGUGGAUAAUCUGCCCUUCACUGGGGAAUAACUAAUCGAAAGGUUAGCUAAUACCGCAUGAGGCCACAGUUUCUGAGGAAGCAGUGGUUAAAGAUUUAUUGGUGAAGGAUGAGUCUGCGUGGGAUUAGCUAGUUGGUGAGGUAAUGGCUCACCAAGGCUACGAUCUCUAACAGGUCUGAGAGGAUGACCUGUCACACUGGAACUGAGACACGGUCCAGACUCCUACGGGAGGCAGCAGUAGGGAAUAUUGCGCAAUGGACGAAAGUCUGACGCAGCGACGCCGCGUGAGUGAUGAAGGCCUUAGGGUCGUAAAGCUCUGUUGCAGGGGAAGAAAAAAAUGACGGUACCCUGCGAGAAAGGAUCGGCUAACUUCGUGCCAGCAGCCGCGGUAAGACGAGGGAUCCUAGCGUUGUUCGGAAUCAUUGGGCGUAAAGCGCAUGUAGGCUGCCAUUCAAGUCAGUUGUGAAAGCCCCGGGCUCAACCCGGGAAGUGCUUCUGAUACUGUUUGGCUUGAGUACUAGAGAGGAUAGUAGAAUUCCAGGUGUGGUGGUGAAAUACGUAGAUAUCUGGAGGAAUACUGGU